UGGGGUGGGCAGUGGCCGCUAGGGGGCGCUGUGGGGUCAUUGAGCCCUAUGAGGUGGGAGGUGGCCGCUAGGGGGCGCUGUGGGGACAUUGGGACCUAUGGGGUGCAGUGCAGCCCUAUGGGGUGGGAGGUGGCCGCUAGGGGGCGCUGUGGGGCAUUUGGAUCUAUGGGGUGGAGGACUGCCGCUAGGGGGCGCUGUGGGGCAUUGGGAUCUAUGGGGUGGAGGACUGCCGCUAGGGGGCGCUGUGGGGCAUUGGGAUCUAUGGGGUGGAGGACUGCCGCUAGGGGGCGCUGUGGGGCAGUGGGACCUAUGGGGUACAGUGCAGCCCUACGGCAUGCAGGGUGA
rnacentral:lncRNA from 1 species